rnacentral:lncRNA from 1 species
AUGAUUAAGUUAUAUUUUUUGAUGACACUCUUGCAGAGCAGAAUAAAAAUGUGGCUGAUGCAGAACGUGACCGGACAGUUUGGCACCAGAUAUAACAUGGCUUCAAGAACAUUUCUUCAAAUUCUACAAAUAAGUGAAUCAAGGCCUACAGCAUGAAGGGUUGUAAAAUAUAUUCAUCUUUCAGUUUUCAGAAGACUACACGCAUUCUGAGAACAUCCAGCAUUAUCAUAACUAAGGAUGAUUCAUUUUCAAAAUGACAUUAAAGUUUCUGUUUCAGUGCUAAAAGGAUAUUAUGACUGCUGAAUAUCAAAUAUAGAGAAAGAGCAAAAUCACAGGAUUUUUCUGCCUGUCUGCCAUUAAAGGACAUUAUUUUUGUAAUGGUGAGAGGCAGGAUACUGCUUAGCUGAACAGUGCCUAUGAUAAGCUUGGUUAUUCCUGUCCAUUACACCAUUGCACAAGUGAGAGAAUUAUUGUAGCUGGAAUAUGUCUUACUCUCUAAACUGUGUACUUGUCCACAGUGAGCCAAAAAGGUCCAUCAUAUGGGGCAUACUUCAGCCACUGUUGUCCUAGAGCAGCCAGGUGCCUGCAGAGAACUCCAUUUGAAGUAGGUGAAGAAGAGGAUGGGAAAUAACCUCUUUCCAUUGGCCCUCCCAUGGCAGUUCCUUGUCUGCUCUGGAUCCCUGGUAGAGACAGGAAGGGUUUUGAGGGUGCCGCCUUGAAAGAUAAAACUCCCCAAGAAUGAGGUGUGCUAGGAGAAAGGCAUGAUCUGAUGUGGAAUCUGUAGUUGCUGCAAGGAUCAGAGACAAUGCACACAGCCGUGCAAUCAUUAUGAUGUAUCUGUUAUAAUGGCUUUUAAAUCUUUUACUAGCAUCAAACAGAAGCAAAUUAAUGUCUCUGUAGCCUAGCUCUGGAUACCACGGUUUUCCUGCUCCUAUCUACUGGUAUUACCUCUCCAGAUCUUGCGUCUUUUAAGUAUCACUUAUUUAUUUUAUACCAAACUGUUAUGGAUUAAAGUUCUGGUAAAUUUCUUAGAACAGAAUUGGCUCUUAAUGUUUUUUUUUUUUUGGAUGGAAUCUGGGAACUUGGAGCUUAUUUUUGUCCUAAAAAAAUGCCUUAAAUGGGCUCGUGAUAAAUGAGAACUCCUGUACCCAAGAAAGUCAUACAGUGAAGGUUUUCCAUAUUGUGGGUGUUCUUAAGCCAUGAUUGUGACUUGAGGCUAGGAAAGGUCGUGGGCAUUACUUGUGAGAACUGUGUAAUUAGCUCCUGAUUUGGGUAUUGUCAGUCUGUGAGGACACCCAACAGCUAGAGGCCUUGGUCCCAGCUCCCUCUACAGGAACAUCGUGGUUGUGUGUUCAACAGCAUGUAUGUGCUGUGUCUUAUUACUUUAUUUUGAACCACAUCUCCCUAGUUUGAAAAGAUCUUUUAUGGGUUUGUCAAAUGUGCUACCAACGUCAAGACAAAGUCCUCUAGAUCUAGUUCCUCAUUAAAGGAGAAAGUUGCAUUGGUUGGCAAGAUUAGCUUGUGACAAAUCUAUGCUAGUGUUUUACGCUCUACUGACUACAAAAUGACUGGUAAACAAUUUGGUCCAUUAUCUUCCUGGAUAUCUAAAUUAUACUUAUUGACCUUUUGUUCCCUGGACCCUCACAGGUGAGAUGUAGAAAGGCUGAUUUUUACCUCACUAGACUACUUUUAUUUCCUGUUGUGAGUGACUGAGAAAUCAUUUCUUGUUUUAUGGGUUAAGAUAGAAGGGAAUAGGUCUCUAGUCCCAUUACUAAAGGUAAACGGACAUUUGUUGGAGUGGGGUGUAACUGGUCUACCCUAUUCCAUGACAACCACUGGAUUAUAUAUUGCAUUGUCAUCAUUUUUAUUUGGAUCUGUGCUAACAAUUUGAGAGUGCGGGCACUCGUAUACAGUGCUCAUACCUAUAUCCCAGCAUUGCUUAAUUUGCUAGUAGAGAGGUACACAAAUGAGAGGGCAGUAUAACAUGGAGGGAAAAAGCGGUGGAAAUGAAUGAGGAAAAAAAACACAUUGAAACAAACAACAAAACAAUAAGCUCUUUGAAUUGUGAAACCAGGCUUUGAAUUUAGAGCUCACCUUUCAGUACUAGCAGAAAUGCCACUGAAAUUAAUGAGUAAGAAAUAUGUACUGAAAUUGCCACUGCAAUCAGUGAGUCAGAAAUGUGUGCUGAAAUUCUUGUGCCAAAAUCUCUGGGACUUGAAAUGUUAAUUAUGACAGGAGCUUCCUUAUUAAAAGAGCAUUGGAAGGUGAAACUACUGUAAGGUAAGGAUAAAAUAACAUGUAGUCCUAUUGUUGACUCUGCAGCAGAACAGUUGCUUCCCAAAGGUCACAAAAGCAGGUAUUGCAUGUUAUUUGUAGAAGCGUCUGUUCUCUCUGAAAGAGAUUCUGAAGAAAAGCUGUUUUCCUGACUGCUGUUUUUGACUAGGAAACCUCCAGUUUCUCAUAUUAGUGGUUUCUGCUUUCUUUGCUAAAGAAUUGGGUUCCUUUCAAGACUCCAUGUUGAUAAAGUCAAAAAGUUGGUGGAAGUGAACUGUAUUUCAUGGUAAUAAAAAAGAAUGAAAACUAAAAUGAAUUGGUGAG